GGUUUUAUUGCUGUGAAGAGACACCACGACCAUGGCAACUCUUAUAAGGGGAAACAUUUCGUUGGGGCUGGCUUACAGUUUCAGAGCCUUAGUUCAUUAUUGUCAUGGCAGUGUGCAGGCAGACAUGGUGCCGGAGAUGGAGCUGAGAGUUCUUGAUUGGCAGGCAGCAGCAGGAGAGGUAGCUUGGGCAUAUAUGAGACUGCAGAGCCCACCUCCACAGUGACACACUUCCUCCAACAAGGCCACGCCUCCUAGUAGUGCCACUCCCUCACUAUGGGCCAAGCUUUCAAACCUGUACCCAUGGGCCAUACCCAUUCAAGUCGCCGCAGUAUGCAUGCCUGUUUUCUUCCCUCUAAAGAGAGAGAGAGAGAGUACGUGGAGUUAGAGGAGGGGGUGAGCAAAGAGUCAGCACAUCUUAUUGGAGGAUUCGGAGAAAGUGAGAGACUUCCACAAGAUUACAAAAUGGAAUAAAGAAAGGAGAACUGAAGGGGAAGGAGGAACAGCUUGCUACAGCAGAUGUGGAAAUGGAGGCAUAAAGAAGUUAAAUAACUUGCCCAGUGUCACACAACUAAUCAGCGGCAGAAGCAGGAUUCAAGCCCAGAAGGCAGGAUGAUGAAGUCUGUGCAUAUAUCCCCUGCGUUUCCUCACCUCCCAUUUGGCAGUUAGGUGUGGCUUGUUUCAAGUUUUUUUU